UACGUAGGGUGCGAGCGUUGUCCGGAAUUACUGGGCGUAAAGAGCUCGUAGGUGGUUUGUCGCGUUGUUCGUGAAAACUCACAGCUUAACUGUGGGCGUGCGGGCGAUACGGGCAGACUGGAGUACUGCAGGGGAGACUGGAAUUCCUGGUGUAGCGGUGGAAUGCGCAGAUAUCAGGAGGGACACCGGUGGCGAAGGCGGGUCUCUGGGCAGUAACUGACGCUGAGGAGCGAAAGCGUGGGGAGCGAACAGG
rnacentral:rRNA from 1 species